rnacentral:misc_RNA from 1 species
UGGACUACACGGGUUUCUAAUCCUGUUUGCUCCCCACACUUUCGCACCUCAGCGUCAGUAUCAGUCCAGUUAGCCGCCUUCGCCACUGGUGUUCCACCGAAUAUCUACGAAUUUCACCUCUACACUCGGUAUUCCGCUAACCUCUCCUGAUCUCUAGACUCCCAGUUUCAAAUGCAGUUCCGAGGUUGAGCCUCGGGAUUUCACAUCUGACUUAAAAGUCCGCCUACGUGCGCUUUACGCCCAGUAAUUCCGAACAACGCUAGCCCCCUUCGUAUUACCGCGGCUGCUGGCACGAAGUUAGCCGGGGCUUCUUUACCAGGUACUGUCAUUAUCAUCCCUGGCGAAAGAAUUUUACAACCCUAAGGCCUUCAUCAUUCACGCGGCAUGGCUGCAUCAGGCU